CGGCACGCCUAACACAUGCAAGUCGAACGAAGUAGCAAUACUUAGUGGCAGACGGGUGAGUAACAUGUAGGUAUCUGCCCUUUGGCCUGGAAUAACACGAGGAAACUUGUGCUAAUACUGGAUAAGUCUUUACGGAGAAAGCUUUAUGCACCAUUGGAUGAGCCUGCACUUGAUUAGUUUGUUGGUGGGGUAAUGGCCUACCAAGACUGUGAUCAAUAGCUGAUUUGAGAGGAUGAUCAGCCACAUUGGGACUGAGACACGGCCCAAACUCCUACGGGAGGCAGCAGUGGGGAAUCUUGCACAAUGGAGGAAACUCUGAUGCAGCGAUGCCGCGUGAGUGAAGAAGGCCUUUGGGUUGUAAAGCUCUUUCGUCGGGGAAGAAAAUGACUGUACCCGAAUAAGAAGGUCCGGCUAACUUCGUGCCAGCAGCCGCGGUAAUACGAAGGGACCUAGCGUAGUUCGGAAUUACUGGGCUUAAAGAGUUCGUAGGUGGUUGAAAAAGUUGGUGGUGAAAUCCCAGAGCUUAACUCUGGAACUGCCAUCAAAACUUUUCAGCUAGAGUAUGAUAGAGGAAAGCAGAAUUUCUAGUGUAGAGGUGAAAUUCGUAGAUAUUAGAAAGAAUACCAAUUGCGAAGGCAGCUUUCUGGAUCAUUACUGACACUGAGGAACGAAAGCAUGGGUAGCGAAGAGGAUUAGAUACCCUCGUAGUCCAUGCCGUAAACGAUGUGUGUUAGACGUUGGAAAUUUAUUUUCAGUGUCGCAGCGAAAGCGAUAAACACACCGCCUGGGGAGUAC
rnacentral:rRNA from 1 species